rnacentral:rRNA from 1 species
ACGAACGCUGGCGGCGUGCUUAACACAUGCCAGUCGAACGAUGAACCCGGAGCUUGCUCUGGGGGAUUAGUGGCGAACGGGUGAGUAACACGUGAGUAACCUGCCCUGGACUCUGGGAUAAGCGUUGGAAACGACGUCUAAUACCGGAUAGGACCUUGGAUCGCAUGAUCUGGGGUGGAAAGUUUUUUCGGUCUGGGAUGGACUCGCGGCCUAUCAGCUUGUUGGUGAGGUAAUGGCUCACCAAGGCGUCGACGGGUAGCCGGCCUGAGAGGGUGACCGGCCACACUGGGACUGAGACACGGCCCAGACUCCUACGGGAGGCAGCAGUGGGGAAUAUUGCACAAUGGGCGAAAGCCUGAUGCAGCAACGCCGCGUGCGGGAUGACGGCCUUCGGGUUGUAAACCGCUUUUAGUAGGGAAGAAGGGCUUCGGCUUGACGGUACCUGCAGAAAAAGGACCGGCUAACUACGUG